UACGAAGGGUGCAAACGUUAUUCGGAACCACUGGGCGUAAAGGGUGCGUAGAUGGUGUGUUAAGUUUGUUGUUAAAGGCUUUGGCCUAACUGAAGUAUUGCAAUGAAAACUGGCGCACUAGAGGGUGAGAGAGAGAAGUGGAAUUCCUGGAGUAGCGGUAAAAUGCGUGGAUCUCAGGAGGAACACCAAUGGCGAAGGCAGCUUCUUGGCUCAUUCCUGACAUUGAGGCACGAAAGCGUGGGGAGCAAACAGG
rnacentral:rRNA from 1 species